GAUGAACGCUGGCGGCAUGCCUAAUACAUGCAAGUCGGACGGGUAGCGGUGUUUCCAGUGGCGUACGGGUGAGUAACGCGUAAGAACCUGCCCUUGGGAGGGGAACAACAACUGGAAACGGUUGCUAAUACCCCGUAGGCUGAGGAGCAAAAGGAGGAAUCCGCCCGAGGAGGGGCUUGCGUCUGAUUAGCUAGUUGGUGAGGUAAUAGCUUACCAAGGCGAUGAUCAGUAGCUGGUCCGAGAGGAUGAUCAGCCACACUGGGACUGAGGCACGGGCCAGACUCCUACGGGAAGCAGCGGUAGGGAAAUGUCCGCAAUGGGCGAGAGCGUGACGGAGCAAUGGCUCGUGGAGGUAGAAUGCCCACGGGUCAUGGACUUCUUUACUCGGAGAAGAAACAAUGACGGUAUCUUAGGAAUAAGCAUCGGCUAACUCUGUG
rnacentral:rRNA from 1 species